AUUGAACGCUGGCGGCAUGCUUUACACAUGCAAGUCGAACGGUAACAGGGUGCUUGCACCGCUGACGAGUGGCGAACGGGUGAGUAAUGCGUCGGAACGUGCCGAGUAGUGGGGGAUAACGCAGCGAAAGUUGUGCUAAUACCGCAUACGUACUGAGGUAGAAAGUGGGGGACCUUCGGGCCUCACGCUAUUCGAGCGGCCGACGUCUGAUUAGCUAGUAGGUGAGGUAAAGGCUCACCUAGGCGACGAUCAGUAGCGGGUCUGAGAGGAUGAUCCGCCAGACGGGGACAGAGACACGGCCCAGACUCCUACGGGAGGCAGCAGUGGGGAAUUUUGGACAAUGGGCGAAAGCCUGAUCCAGCCAUGCCGCGUGUCUGAAGAAGGCCUUCGGGUUGUAAAGGACUUUUGUCGGGGAGGAAAUCCCCAGCGUUAAUACCGCUGGGGGAUGACAGUACCUGAAGAAUAAGCACCGGCUAACUACGUGCCAGCCGCCGGCGUAACAC
rnacentral:rRNA from 1 species